UUAAUUGUAAUAUUGUGAAAAUACAUUGCACACCUUGUUCAUCAAUGCUAUAAUUAGUUACAUAAUAAAUUGAACAUCUAAAUACACCAAAUCCCCUCACUACUGCCAUAGUGAGGGGAUUU
rnacentral:sRNA from 1 species